UCUUGGAUUUCAUUAAAGUACCUCGGUUUUUGUUUGAAGAUGAAUGAGAGAACAUGAGGGUAAGUUAAGUGAUGACAGAUUUUUGCUUUUUAGAUUUUUUAGUGAACUAUUAAAUAAGUAGAACAUUUAGUAUUACAGUAUGUCUUAAUUUGAACCCAGCUUCUUCAAGCGUGUAUGUUGUGUGUCUUUUGGAACAUACAUUUUUUGUGAGUAAAGUUAGGCAUUUAAUUUCUCUUGUUGUAUUUCAGAAAUCAUAACAGCCUGUCUUUUUUUAGCACAGCGGCAUUCAAAUUGACCAAUCAGAGCCGAGAAUUUCUAAUACGUCAAAGUAGAGAUGAACAGAUGAGGAUACGGCCCAUAAAAAUACUUAUUCUUGGUGAGUGCCAUGUAGUGACGGAUCAAACGGACACUCAUGUCAAGCUUGUUGAGGACACAGUCAAAGAUUUAAAAGACCUUGUGAUUAAGUCUUCAGUGUCUGAAUGGCAAGAAGUGACCCUCCACUUAAACGUGACAUUUAAACUGCUCUGUGUUUUGGUUCAGCCAUUUGCAGGUUUAUCUCGAGUUAGUUCAAAUGCACUUCUGCAUUUUUCCCAGUAACUUUUUGUUUAGAGAAUUACAUUAUUAUGAUUAUAUGAAUAUUCAAUGGUUGCAUAUUCAUAGUGUACUUUUCAUAUUGAUGUAUAAAUGUUCCACAAUUUGAUAAAAGUAGCUCAUUGCAUUUCACUGUUCUUUGUUUUAUAUUGUAAAAUCAUUUCAAUAGCAGUAAAUACAUACUUAGUUGUUUCUUUAACAUUUAAUUAGUUGUUAAUGAUGGAAGAAACAGUAUCAUUUUAGAAUGAGUUAAAACAUGUUUUGGUGGCAAACAUGCAGGUAAAAUACUACAUAUAUAACAUUCUAAUAGUAUACUGUACUGUAAUUCAAAUGUCACAUACAGUACAUUAGAAAUGAUGUAUUUUAUGUAUACAAAUGUGUGGGCAAUAUAUUAUUAUUUCAUUUUGUAUGCUAUAUUAUUUAUGUAAUAUUAUCAUAUCUGAAAUUAUUAAAUUAUAUUUAUAAAUGUUUAAAAGGUGGCUUCAAAUGUGCUUCAAGUUGAAACUGAAUACAGUUUUAGAAAAUAGCACAGUUGAGUACACUUAGAUUGUCUUAAGUUU